GACGAACGCUGGCGGCGUGCUUAACACAUGCAAGUCGAACGCUGAAGCUCAGCUUUUGUUGGGUGGAUGAGUGGCGAACGGGUGAGUAACACGUGAGUAACCUGCCCCCUUCUUUGGGAUAACGCCCGGAAACGGGUGCUAAUACUGGAUAUUCACUGGUCUUCGCAUGGGGGGUGGUGGAAAGGGUUUUUCUGGUGGGGGAUGGGCUCGCGGCCUAUCAGCUUGUUGGUGGGGUGAUGGCCUACCAAGGCUUUGACGGGUAGCCGGCCUGAGAGGGUGACCGGUCACAUUGGGACUGAGAUACGGCCCAGACUCCUACGGGAGGCAGCAGUGGGGAAUAUUGCACAAUGGGCGCCAGCCUGAUGCAGCGACGCCGCGUGAGGGAUGGAGGCCUUCGGGUUGUGAACCUCUUUCGCUCAUGGUCAAGCCGCAACAAUGGUUGUGGUGAGGGUAGUGGGUAAAGAAGCGCCGGCUAACUACGUG
rnacentral:rRNA from 1 species